rnacentral:miRNA from 1 species
GGAAGGAAGCGAGAGAGAGAGAGAGAGAGAGAGAGAGAGAAGGGAACUAGGUUAGAGAAGACGACGAAAAUUGUUAUAUAUGGAUGCAUCAAGUUGCUCGGUUGGUAGAUGAGAUCAAUGGUUCACAUUUAUUUAAAUACAAAAAGGUCAAAUUGCUAAAUGUUUACCUACACAACCUGCUCCUCCCGGUUCCAAAAAGACCAAAAAUAAAAAAUAAAAAAAUUGGACUUUAUUUGUUUAAUAUUAAUCUUCAAAAUCCACCGUUCUCUCUCUCUCUCUCUCUCUCUCUCUCUCUCUCUCUCUCUCUCUCC